UACGUAGGGUGCAAGCGUUGUCCGGAAUUAUUGGGCGUAAAGAGCUUGUAGGCGGUUUGUCGCGUCUGCUGUGAAAUUUCGGGGCUCAACCCCGAACUUGCAGUGGGUACGGGCAGACUAGAGUGUGGUAGGGGAGACUGGAAUUCCUGGUGUAGCGGUGAAAUGCGCAGAUAUCAGGAGGAACACCAGCGGCGAAGGCGGCGCUCUGGGCCGGUACUGACGCUGAGGAGCGAAAGCGUGGGUAGCAAACAGG
rnacentral:rRNA from 1 species